rnacentral:rRNA from 1 species
GACGAACGCUGGCGGCGUGCUUAACACAUGCAAGUCGAACGGAAAGGCCCUGCUUUUGUUGGGUGCUCGAGUGGCGAACGGGUGAGUAACACGUGAGUAACCUGCCCUUGACUUUGGGAUAACUUCAGGAAACUGGGGCUAAUACCGGAUAGGAGCUCCUGCUGCAUGGUGGGGGUUGGAAAGUUUCGGCGGUUGGGGAUGGACUCGCGGCUUAUCAGCUUGUUGGUGGGGUAGUGGCUUACCAAGGCUUUGACGGGUAGCCGGCCUGAGAGGGUGACCGGCGACAUUGGGACUGAGAUACGGCCCAGACGCCUACGGGAGGCAGCAGUGGGGAAUAUUGCACAAUGGGCGGAAGCCUGAUGCAGCAACGCCGCGUGCGGGAUGACGGCCUUCGGGUUGUAAACCGCUUUCGCCUGUGACGAAGCGUGAGUGACGGUAAUGGGUAAAGAAGCACCGGCUAACUACGUG